rnacentral:rRNA from 1 species
AACGAACGCUGGCGGCGGGGUUUAGGCAUGCAAGUCGCGGGAGAAAUCUCUUCGGAGUGAGUACACCGGCAGAAGGGUGAGUACAAGCUCGUUAACGUACCCUCAGGACGAGGAUAAUUUCUGGAAACGGAAUGUAAUACUCGAUGAGACCACGGCUCCUUUGGGGGCAGUGGUCAAAGGCAGGGGAUCCUUCGGGACCUUGUGCCUGGGGAGCGGACGAGCCCUGAUUAGCUUGUUGGUGAGGUAACGGCUCACCAAGGCUAUGAUCAGUAGCCGGCCUGAGAGGGUGAUCGGCCACACUGGGACUGAGACACUGCCCAG